AACUGGGUGGCUCAGUCGGUUGAGCGUCUGACUUCAGCUCAGGUCAUGAUUUCACACCUUGUGAGUUCGAGCCCCACAUCAGGUG
rnacentral:tRNA from 1 species